rnacentral:misc_RNA from 1 species
GAUGAAGAACGUAGCGAAAUGCGAUACGUAAUGUGAAUUGCAAAUUCAGUGAAUCAUCGAGUCUUUGAACGCACAUUGCGCCCGCCAGUAUUCUGGCGGGCAUGCCUGUUCGAGCGUCAUUACAACCCUCAGGCCCCCGGGCCUGGCGUUGGGGAUCGGCGGAAGCCCCCUGUGGGCACACGCCGUCCCUCAAAUACAGUGGCGGUCCCGCCGCAGCUUCCAUUGCGUAGUAGCUAACACCUCGCAACUGGAGAGCGGCGCGGCCAUGCCGUAAAACACCCAACUUCUGAAUGUUGACCUCGAAUCAGGUAGGAAUACCCGCUGAACUUAAGCAUAUCAAUAAGCGGAGGA